rnacentral:rRNA from 1 species
ACUCCUACGGGAGGCAGCAGUGGGGAAUAUUGCACAAUGGGCGCAAGCCUGAUGCAGCCAUGCCGCGUGUAUGAAGAAGGCCUUCGGGUUGUAAAGUACUUUCAGCAGUGAGGAAGGUGGGUAUGUUAAUAGCAUACUCAUUUUGACGUUAGCUGCAGAAGAAGCACCGGCUAACUCCGUGCCAGCAGCCGCGGUAAUACGGAGGGUGCGAGCGUUAAUCGGAAUUACUGGGCGUAAAA